UAUUUUCUAUCAUAUACAAACGGAAAUGAAUUCAUGAAGAUGAAUUUCAAAUUUCCAGAAUUUAUUUCCUCAUCACUGCAAAUCCGGAAAGAAAAUCACCGCUACCAUAUUUGCAUCUUUAUUUCGAUUUUGGAAAUCAAAAGGGAGAAGGGAAGCCACAAAGGGUCUAGUCUCUAUCAUCACCAAUCUCAAACAUGUAAAUUUUCAAUUUGAUUUUGAAUUAAAGAGGUUGAUUCAAUUGAAUUAAACAUGUAGAAUUCUAUCAUCAAAAAUCGAGUUUAAGUUAAACAUGUAAUCGAAGAGGUUGAUUCGAUUUAAUUCCCCAAACAUGUAAUUGAUUUAAUAUGUGUUUAAAAUUGGAAAUCUUGGGUUCCCUAUACACCAUCUUAGGAUUUAGAUUUCCUUUACCAAAAUAUAUGUAAUUGGAUCUAU